CCUACGGGAGGCAGCAGUGAGGAAUAUUGGUCAAUGGACGAGCGUCUGAACCAGCCAAGUAGCGUGAAGGAUGACUGCCCUAUGGGUUGUAAACUUCUUUUAUAUGGGAAUAAAAUGUUCCACGUGUGGGAUUUUGUAUGUACCCUAUGAAUAAGGAUCGGCUAACUCCGUGCCAGCAGCCGCGGUAAUACGGAGGAUCCGAGCGUUCUCCGGAUUUGUUGGGUUUAAAGGGAGCGUAGGUGGAUUGUUAAGUCAGUUGUGAAAGUUUGCGGCUCAACCGUAAAAUUGCAGUUGAAACUGCCAGGCUUGAGUACAGGAGAGGUGGGCGGAAUUCGUGGUGUAGCGGUGAAAUGCUUAGAUAUCACGAAGAACUCCGAUUGCGAAGGCAGUUCACUGGACUGCAACUGACACUGAGGCUCGAAAGUGUGGGUAUCAAACAGGAUUAGAUACCCGGGUAGUC
rnacentral:rRNA from 1 species